GCUGACGAGCGGCGGACGGGUGAGUAAUGCAUAGGAAUCUGCUCGAUAGUGGGGGAUAACCUAGGGAAACCCAGGCUAAUACCGCAUACGUCCUACGGGAGAAAGGGGGCUCCGGCUCCCGCUAUCGGAUGAGCCUAUGUCGGAUUAGCUGGUUGGUGAGGUAAUGGCUCACCAAGGCGACGAUCCGUAGCUGGUCUGAGAGGAUGAUCAGCCACAUCGGGACUGAGACACGGCCCGAACUCCUACGGGAGGCAGCAGUGGGGAAUAUUGGACAAUGGGGGGAACCCUGAUCCAGCCAUGCCGCGUGUGUGAAGAAGGCCCUCGGGUUGUAAAGCACUUUCAGUGAGGAAGAACGCCUGGUGGUUAAUACCCAUCAGGAAAGACAUCACUCACAG
rnacentral:rRNA from 1 species